rnacentral:rRNA from 1 species
UACAGAGGGGGCAAGCGUUAUUCGGAAUUAUUGGGCGUAAAGGGCGCGUAGGCGGCGAUUCAAGUGGCGGGUGAAAUCCCUCGGCUUAACCGAGGAACUGCCUGCCAGACUGGAUUGCUUGAGUCCGGGAGAGGUGAGUGGAAUUCCCAGUGUAGCGGUGAAAUGCGUAGAUAUUGGGAGGAACACCAGUGGCGAAGGCGGCUCACUGGACCGGAACUGACGCUGAGGCACGAAAGCCAAGGGAGCAAACAGG